rnacentral:lncRNA from 1 species
CGUCAAUCAGUCGAUCGACUCUCCGGAAAAUCGGAAUUAUACGGAGCCGUCCAACAGGUGAGUGAGUUUUUUUCUUCUUUUCGUCGGCCGGUCUGGAUGGCGCUAACCCCAUUUUGCCUAUUGAAUUACAUCUGAUAUUAAGUAACCUCCCUAUCCGGAUGGGACUUGGGUUUCCAUUCCACGCGUUUUUAAUCCUUUCGUUGGUUGGUUGUGUUUCUUUGACCGGAUUGGUACUCACUCAUCCACUUGAUGCAUCCGCUUCUGAUCAGCCUAUCUUUGCUAAUUCCUAUCGAUCUAAAGUUCAUGAUCUCAACUUUUCCACCUAGGAAUGAAAAUAAGUCCUUAAAACAACAAAAAGCGUUUCCACGGGAUUUGGAUAUACUUACGGUUCUGUUUCGGAAUAUUAAAAGUGUUCAAAUUCCGAUAGUAGUUUCGAUCACUUCCCUAAUAAGUGAAAAAGACAUGCCAUUGAUGAUAGACUGGAUAACUUUCAGCUAACAAAUUUAACUGCGAGAAUCUUUCGAUUAACGAACUGUUUCAGCAGAAGACGAAUAGUACACACAGUCGAAUAUUUAUUUAUUUCAGUCUUCUAGCAUAAAAAUAAAGGUACUAAAAUGGAAAGUAUGACAUUGGUCAGUCAUAAAUGGCUGGAAAGGCAGGCUUUCCCACAUCCAAAACCCAUCAUCAAGCGUCCAAUCUACGUAUGCAAUUGCAUGUUUUAAUUCUUGCCCGUAUACUUAUAUUUGACAACAGUGGAAACGAAUAAUAAAUUCGAAGUUUGUUGACAGUGUAGAGAAAUAGGCGGACAGUUAUUCAUUAGGAGUAAAAUCUUAAAUCUUGUUGUAGCAGAAUUCCAGUUGAUCAUCUCAACUAUUCGACUAUAUUUAUAUCGGUUUCCUGUUCUACGCGAUUUUCUUUAUUAUACCACAUAUGAUUUAUAAUUAAUUAUUCAGAUCAUCGAGUAAAUGGGUUUAAGGCAUUGAUCAUCAGGAGUAAGCGUAUUAUAUCCAUCUCCAAUAUCUGCUUUCAAACGUCUGUUUCAAAGAACCUAUCGUCUGUUUAUCGUCAACUAUAUACCUCAAGAUCAGUUUGCCUGGAUGGAACUGUACUUCUAGAUCAGUUUGCCUGGAGGGAUCUCCAUCUAAUUAUAUGGGCGAUGGAGAUUAAGACCGAAACUGGCAUAAAUCCUAUUGAAGCAGGAUAUUGUAUAAUAAAAUUAAGAGAGAGAGAAAAUGAUGGGAUGUCGGAUAAACUAGUCAUUAGUAGUUUGGAUAUUAAUUCAGAAUUCCCACAUAUAGAUAGACAGACAGAAACGUGCCCCGCUCCCUAGAGCGCUCUUUUAUCUAUCUUGAUAAAGACGAAUCCAAUCGAUGGAUAUAUACAUGGACAUCGAUUCCAAAUGCGAUUUUUAAGUGUUGGCUAAGCAGUUUAUUAAAAAUUCGAAGGAGACGGUAAUCGUUGUACAUUUGUAACUUUUAGAAGAGACAGUGGAAGGAAAGGUGGACACACCCAUCUCUGAUCGACAUGUGCGGAAAUAGGAAGCGCCGAUUAAAAGCCCAGUAGUUACUGGAGGAGAAAACCGUGAAAGAAACCAGGCCAGACUUCUCGCUUCUCCCCAACCGCCAUAUACGGUACAGCCUUUUUUUACACUAUUUAUUUAUUCAAAUAAUUCUCCAGUUAAGUCAUAAACUCGGUGGCACCAAAGUCAGCCGUGAAAAAAAAAUAAUAAUAAAUAAAUAAAUUCCAACCAACAAAGUGGAGGACUUUCUUCCUCCUUACAGGUUAGAUUUUGGCCAGCUUAACCACCUCUUAUCAAACUGUAAUAUUCUCGCGGAUAAGGAGGAAUAGUAGUUGUAGUAUUAUAGAGUAUAUCGAAUGGUCUAGGUGUAUUUGGCGGGAAAAGCGAAAAUAAAUUUCUGUCGCUUCUGACGGUAGUGCUCAACACGGUCACCACGUUCCAUUAUGGUCUCAUCAAUACCACAUUAUCAUUUUCAAAAAUCAAAAUAAAAUAAAUUAUGUGUAUCUGGUGACAAAACAAUAACAUAGAUUACUCAAUCCCCUGUAAUAAAGUUGUUAGAAAUUGCACCAACGUUAUCUAAUGAUGCAUCGUACUUUGUUCUGAAGAAAGUGCCAUAUAUUAAGAUUUAGUAACGAAUUAUUAUUAUUAACCUCGUUUGGAUUUGUCAAGGAAGCGAUGUUAGACACGGUGACACUAAAUGGGUGUUCAUUUUUAAACGAAAUCGUGGAUUAUAUGUUAAAAAAUUUCUGGCGGUUGGCCUUUUGUUGCUCGGUGUUCCCAAAACGUUAAAAAUUUAGUUUUAAUUACCGAAAUUAUGCGAUACGCAACUACUGGAUCAGACAGUAGAACGAGUCAUAUCCAUUCUACUGUCCGAAAUCCCAAAUUAAUUAUUAAUUAAUCAUCUGAGGAAUGACGAGGCGAUGACAUUUCUGGUUAAAUAUCGAAUUUUUCCGUCUUAUUAAUCCAAACAGCCUUAACUUUAUUCAUUAAUAACGGAAUUCCUCUCCAGUUUGAUGACAUUUCUGAAUUUUUUCCCACUGGGAACACGACGGACAAGAUCAGUCUUAUGCUCAAAAUUUAAAUGAUUUGGUCUUAAUGAUUUCAGAAAGGAAGUAGAAUGCGUGCGAGUGGACCGAAAAAUAUCAUUUUUAAGCAUAUUCGAGACUAAAUUUGAUGUAGAAUAAUAUGAUAAAAACCGAUGUAAGAGCACUGAUGUUACGAAUAUAUCUGCCAUUGGCAGGAUCUAAUUAAUUUGUGCUUGCAAUGCCAUCGUAACCACAGAGAUGGUAUUCGAGGCGAAAAAAUAUGCUUGCCAAUCUACAUAUAACAGAUCAUUUUAUAUUUACUGUAGUAAAGGCACCGGCUAACAGGACUUCUUUGCUGUUUUUGAAUUGUUUAAAUAAGACAAUGCACACAUUAUACACCUACACAUUUUUAUUUAAGUAUGUAAUACGUACAAAUUGGAUAUUAGCCGAUGGCAUUGGUUUCUAAAAUUAUCAUUCCGUGUAUAAACCGCC